GCUGUGGUAACAUGGAGAGAAACCAGAGAGUGGGUGGGGCUUUAGAACUUCCAAGACAGAGGCUCUGGAAGCCUCUGUCUUCAGCUACCAGAGUGGGUAGGGAAGGACCAUCAAGUGGGGGCAGGGCUAGGUGUGUCUGAGCUCAGACUCUCCUUGGGUGAGUCUUGCUGUGGCUGCUGUGGGGGAGGGGGGGGUGAGGUUCCCAGGUGAAUAGAGUUGUGUACCUAGGAGGAUAAUGGCUGCCUCUGCUGAGUCAUGCAGGUUGUUAGGGAAGUGAGGGAAAGCUGGCAGUCACAGGCCUCACCCAGCUCCCAUGCAAUCCAAAUGGCCAGUCUCACUCUCACCAUGCCCCCUCUAAAGCAUUGAGUCUGUUUCCAAGCAGUGGGUAAGCAGGGGUGAGAACUUGCCGCAGGCUACCCACCUCCCAGCUGUGAAAGAAAAGGGCUUUCGUUCUUCCCCCACCUGUGGAGUCUACACGCUGGAUUUGUGCCCUCCCUUGAGUUCUGGCCAGGAGGCUUCUCCACCUGUUCAAAUUGUUAUAAAGUUCAGCUGGAGACUUCCUUCUCUCCGUGGCAUUUUCCUCAUGCCUCUGGCCACCCUCCCAAAGGAUCCCUGUGAGGCCAGGCAGGAAUGGCCUGCUUGGGGACCCAGCAAGCUUCUAGGGCCUUUGCUGCUGCUUCCUCUACCCCUGUAUUUCGCUCGGCUCUCUAAAUGGACUCAGCUCCAGAUGAGGAAACGGAGAUUCACAAAAAUCAGGUCAUUUGUCUGAGGUCCGAGUACUGUGUGAUAGAGCAAAGAUUUGAACCCAGACAGGCUGCAUGGAGAUUGUAGCAUGAAUGCAGAUAUUGGAAAUUUACUGGAUGUAUGAUCAGACAAACCAAUUGAAGUGGAGAAGAGAACCAAUCAGCCAAAUCAUUACAGAAGUUGCACCACUGCCUGAAAUAUCUUGACUGAUUCUAUAUAAGUUGAAUUUUUGCCGAAUAAAUUCUGAAAAUAAUUACAAGCUUCCUUUUGAUUUGAAUGUUACACAUCAAGUUCUAGUAAGAGCUAAUUUUACAUCAUUGACAGAUAACAAAAUAGAAGGAACAAAGUGCCCUUUGAGUUAAGGGCACUCCAAUGUCCCGGAAUUUAACCUUUUUGUCAGAUCAAUAAGGUUUAGUGCAACUAGCCAGACACCUGUCC
rnacentral:lncRNA from 10 species